rnacentral:misc_RNA from 1 species
UAGGCGGGGUCCCGGAACUAAGAUGU